GGGCCCGCACAAGCGGAGGAACAUGUGGUUUAAUUCGAUGAUACGCGAGGAACCUUACCCGGGCUUGAAUUGCAGACGCAUGCAGGGGAAACCCUGCAGCCGCAAGGCGUCUGUGAAGGUGCUGCAUGGUUGUCGUCAGCUCGUGCCGUGAGGUGUCGGCUCAAGUGCCAUAACGAGCGCAACCCCUGCCGGCGGUUACUAGCGGGUAAUGCCGAGGACUCCGCCGGGACUGCCGUCGCAAGAUGCGAGGAAGGGGGGGAUGACGUCAAAUCAGCACGGCCCUUACGUCCGGGGCUACACACGUGUUACAAUGGGGGGUACAGAGGGCCGCCACCCGGCGACGGGGCGCCAAUCCCGAAAGCCCCUCCCAGUUCGGAUCGGAGCCUGCAACCCGGCUCCGUGAAGCUGGAUUCGCUAGUAAUCGCGCAUCAGCCAUGGCG
rnacentral:rRNA from 1 species